rnacentral:rRNA from 1 species
CCUACGAGCGGCAGCAGUAGGGAAUUUUCGGCAAUGGGGGGAACCCUGACCGAGCAACGCCGCGUGAACGAAGAAGUUAUUCGUAACGUAAAGUUCUGUUAACAGGGAAGAAAGAGAAAUUUGACGGUACCUGAAGAAUAAGCUCCGGCUAACUACGUGACAGCAGCCGCGGUAAUACGUAGGGAGCGAGCGUUAUCCGGGAUUAUUGGGGGUAAAGGGGGCGGAGAUGGCAUAGUCAGACUUGUGUAAAAAUGCUGGGCUCAACCCAGUAGGGCAAAAGAUACUGCAAAGCUAGAGUAUGACAGAGGCAAGUGGAACUACAUGUGUAGCGGUAAAAUGCGUAAAUAUAUGUCAGAACACCAGUGGCGAAGGCGGCUUGCUGGGUCGAUACUGACAUUGAGGCACGAAAGCGUGGGGAGCAAACAGGAUUAGAUACCCGGGUAGUC